rnacentral:rRNA from 1 species
AUUGAACGCUGGCGGCAGGCCUAACACAUGCAAGUCGAGCGGAUGAAGGGAGCUUGCUCCUGGCUUCAGCGGCGGACGGGUGAGUAAUGCCUAGGAAUCUGCCUGGUAGUGGGGGAUAACGUCCGGAAACGGGCGCUAAUACCGCAUACGUCCUGAGGGAGAAAGUGGGGGCUCUUCGGACCUCACGCUAUCAGAUGAGCCUAGGUCGGAUUAGCUAGUUGGUGGGGUAAAGGCCUACCAAGGCGACGAUCCGUAACUGGUCUGAGAGGAUGAUCAGUCACACUGGAACUGAGACACGGUCCAGACUCCUACGGGAGGCAGCAGUGGGGAAUAUUGGACAAUGGGCGAAAGCCUGAUCCAGCCAUGCCGCGUGUGUGAAGAAGGUCUUCGGAUUGUAAAGCACUUUAAGUUGGGAGGAAGGGCAGUAAGUUAAUACCUUGCUGUUUUGACGUUACCAACAGAAUAAGCACCGGCUAACUUCGUG